rnacentral:lncRNA from 1 species
GUUAAAACAAUAUUCAGUGUUUGCUUUAUUAUGGUUAUAUGAAUAGUCACAGAGGAGGCCUGUCAAAUAUUAUGAUGCAUUGUCAUUCUUGUACAAUUUUUUUAUUAUAAAUUGCCUAGCUUUCUAUGAAUCUACAAGUAAAUCAUUAUUUAACUCUUCUCCAGAAAUGUAAAUAUUCUUUCGACAUAUUCAAGCACAUUAGCUUAUCUAAUGAUAUCAUUUUGUUUCUUGAAUAUAUAUCUGUUGGUGAGUCUUCAGUCCUCUUGCUCCAAAUGCGGACUGGUUGCUCUCUAAGCCUGUGCAUCAGUUAGCUAUUUCUGCACAAUGGAUCGCUCUAAAAUGUAGUGUUUGGAAACAACAAUCUCUUAAUUCAGCUCACAAUCCUGCAGGUUGGUAGUUGGAACUGGUUUCUCCGUGACUUCCAUCACAUUUUGCCAGCCAAGCAAGUCACAAUGGCAGUCCAGAAUCAAGGUGUAGAGUAGAUUCCGUGUUUCAGUGAAAGGUUCUAGAAGUCAGUCUGCAAAGAGUAUAGAUGUAGGAAGGUGACCAAUUGGGUCUGUCCAUUCAAGCAGCCCGCCAGUCUGAUGCAUAGCCAUUGUGCUGGGGUCUCCUCCCACUGCCACUGGGUUUCAGAAACCAUAGCAGUGACUUUAACUGCAUGUGCAGGAAGGCGUGAAGGCAGUGGCUCGGCAGGUGCUGGUACUUCUAGAACAACAGUAGAUCCUGCAAGUGUUGGGAAAACUGCAAACCGGCUUCACCUGUUGCUUCAAGAAAAUGAUGUGCAAAAUGAACCUCUGAAGCAUGAAUGCUGGAAUUCAUUUUGGAAAACUGACACUACUCUUGGUGUCUGAGUCACCAAUUCAACACUCCUGGAUCCAUGUACGUUUGGAGCUUAUUGCAGGCAUAUUCCUUGAAUUGUCUACAUCAUUUUGUGCAUAGGUAUAGGCUCUGACUUCUUCCUUAUGUCCCUAGUUGGGUUGUACCCAAACAUGUCCAUAGUAAAGUAUAUGUUAUUCCUAAUACGUUACUCUCUUUCAACUUCUCCUAUGUAAUAUAAGGGUAUUAGGGUGAUUUUUAAAAAUCAUGUAUACAGGUUGCUUAUAUUACUUCUGCUUCAUUUCAGGAUACUAAAGAAGGUAUACAAAAUAUUUUUUUCGAGAAACAGGGUCAAGGGACAAAUUGGGAAGAACAGAUGACUUUAAGGGCCCUGGUACCUGUGAGUUUUUAAAUCCCAUGCUCAGAGAGGCUUAAUUAGAAAGGCUACAGCUGGUAAUCCAGAUCUGAAGCAAACAGCAAAUCAAAGCAAUUGUCUUGCACCAGUUGCUUUGAUCAUCUGACUGUGGCCUAGCUCUUUCAGGCCAGAAUCAGGGGAGACGGAGGAAUAAACAAACCCAAGAGAACCA